rnacentral:rRNA from 1 species
CAGUAGCCACGGGAAUACGGAGGAUCCAAGCGUUAUCCGGAAUCAUUGGGUUUAAAGGGUCCGUAGGCGGUCUUGUAAGUCAGUGGUGAAAGCCCAUCGCUCAACGGUGGAACGGCCAUUGAUACUGCAGGACUUGAAUUAUUGGGAAGUAACUAGAAUAUGUAGUGUAGCGGUGAAAUGCUUAGAGAUUACAUGGAAUACCAAUUGCGAAGGCAGGUUACUACCAAUUGAUUGACGCUGAUGGACGAAAGCGUGGGUAGCGAACAGGAUUAGAGACCCGUGUAGUCCCUGUCUCUUAUAC